rnacentral:rRNA from 1 species
AGCGAACGCUGGCGGCAGGCCUAACACAUGCAAGUCGAACGAACCUUUCGGGGUUAGUGGCGGACGGGUGAGUAACACGUGGGAACGUGCCUUUAGGUUCGGAAUAACUCAGGGAAACUUGUGCUAAUACCGAAUGUGCCCUUCGGGGGAAAGAUUUAUCGCCUUUAGAGCGGCCCGCGUCUGAUUAGCUAGUUGGUUGAGGUAAUGGCUCACCACGGCGACGAUCAGUAGCUGGUCUGAGAGGAUGAUCAGCCACAUUGGGACUGAGACACGGCCCAAACUCCUACGGGAGGCAGCGGUGGGGAAUCUUGCGCAAUGGGCGAAAGCCUGACGCAGCCAUGCCGCGUGAAUGAUGAAGGUCUUAGGAUUGUAAAAUUCUUUCACCGGGGACGAUAAUGACGGUACCCGGAGAAGAAGCCCCGGCUAACUUCGUG